rfam:Picea glauca, whole genome shotgun sequence.
GGGUGUGAUCAUACCAGGGUUAAUGCACUAGAUCCCAUCAAAAAUCUGCAGUUAAGCAUGCUUGGGCUUGAAAAGAACUGGGAUGGGUGACCUCCUGGGAAGUACUAGUGUUUCACCCU